rnacentral:rRNA from 1 species
AGUGAACGCUGGCGGUAGGCCUAACACAUGCAAGUCGAACGGCAGCACAGUAAGAGCUUGCUCUUACGGGUGGCGAGUUGCGGACGGGUGAGGAAUACAUCGGAAUCUACUUUUUCGUGGGGGAUAACGUAGGGAAACUUACGCUAAUACCGCAUACGACCUACGGGUGAAAGCAGGUGAUCUUCGGACCUUGCGCGAUUGAAUGAGCCGAUGUCGGAUUAGCUAGUUGGCGGGGUAAAGGCCCACCAAGGCGACGAUCCGUAGCUGGUCUGAGAGGAUGAUCAGCCACACUGGAACUGAGACACGGUCCAGACUCCUACGGGAGGCAGCAGUGGGGAAUAUUGGACAAUGGGCGAAAGCCUGAUCCAGCCAUACCGCGGGGGUGAAGAAGGCCUUCGGGUUGUAAAGCCCUUUUGUUGGGAAAGAAAAGCAGCAGGUUAAUACCCCGAUGUUCUGACGGUACCCAAAGAAUAAGCACCGGCUAACUUCGUG